UAUUGUUGUUUGAUGGAAGUAUGUUUUUUUUAGGGUAACUUGCUAAGUGGUAACUAAUAACUACCACAAGUUUUUACAGCCAGUGGAAAGGCUUGAGGUUUCUUCUAAGACAAUGAAAGAACUUGGUAUGACAGAUUAAUAAAGGCAGCAUGUGGUCUAUUAUAUGAACAGUAGACUUUAAGGAGACAGGGAGGGUGGAGAGGGACCAAGUAAAACAUUUCUACAAUGGCUCAAGUCAAAGUUGAUUAUGACAUAGACAAAGACAAGAAAUAAAUAGAAGUUAUCAAAAAGGCUUGGUUUGGAAGAUCUCUUAGAGAUAGGAAUGAAAAGAGGGGGGUGGUGGGAGAAAGAACUACAGAAAUGUUCCAGAUUUACUACUCGAUAUAUAUUUUUAAAAAAAUUCUCCAAAGCUCAGAAUAGAGAAUUUGCCAAAAAGCCCAUCACUCAUGAUUCAUUUGUCAUAAGCCUCUACUCAUUACCAUGAAAUUAUUCAGUCAUAAUUGCUGUCUUACUGAAGCAUACAGUUGACACAGUGAAGUCUCUGCUUUCACAGAACUUUAUACUUCUGAGUAAUGACUUUGUCUAUGCCAUGGGAUGGACGUCCUAUUCAUAUUGUGUCAAUAAACCUCAAUUAACAAUGUAAAAUUAAUGAAAAUAAUGUGAGUUAUUUAUAUUAGUUUAUGUGGUAGAAGAGUACUUAAUGACAACAAACUUGGUGUAUGUGAAUAUUAAAUUAUUGUAAAUUAUUUAAAAACAAUAAGAACUAGCCUUACAUUUCACCCCCCUGGACACUGUUUUCAAGAGAAGGAAGGAAACAUUCAAGAAAAAAUAAGAUAUAACUUAGCAUAAAUAAACAGAAAGAAUAUAAAUCUCUUUCACUUUUCUUUUUUUUAAUUUGGCAAUAGAACUGUUGAUAUUACCACACUAUCUGGCUCUCUCUUUUUCCUUUAUCAGUAAACUACCCACAUUUUAACUGGGCACAUUCCUGUCAAUCUGAUGAGAAUCUAUUUCAUACCCUGCUUUAGCUGGUAGUCUGUCAAGGAAAUGAGCUGAACAUGUCUGUGUACAGCUUUUGUGCCAUCCCUGGAUGAGCGAGCUGUCUGCCUCUAUGUUCUCCACAAAAUGGAAUAUAGCUGUACACCCAAGCCAAGUUAUGGAGGCUGGGAAGACCUAGAAUGUGGCAUCACUAUUUGGAAACCAUGCCGAUUACCGACCGAGCUCUCAAUGGAAAAAUGCAGUCGGCGUGAACCACGCACGAACACAGCAGAGAAAGAAGAAAACACACACCACGAGGAACCCUAAUAGGACAAUACAUUAUAAGCCUCAUGGUACAUCCACUUGGUGUGCUGGGAGAGUCAGGAUGAGGACCUGAGAAGAACAGCAGCUUGAACCUGACUUCAUUUAACAGCCCACUGCCCUCUUGCCAAGAACCCAUCACAGACCUUCCCAGAAGAGAGGGAUGAGCCUCACCUAUGAAUAAGUCCUCAGAAACUCAAAUUUGAUUCUAAUGGAUUGUUUUCUCAGAAAGACUGAGCAUGUCCCCCCACAUCUCUGUCAUUUCCCACAGUAGUAACCUCUGCAGAUGCCACAUAGAAAACAAAACAAAACAAAAAAACAUGAGGUUGGUGGGCAGAUAGGCAGGGUAUAAACAAACAGCCUUGUAACCCAGAAGCUGUGUGAUAUACAGUAAACUUCACAACACUGAAAAGAUGUCCUAUCUGUUAAAAUGGGGUAAUAACAACUACCCGAAUGUUUAGGAAUAGAACUUCAAUAAAUGAUACAUUUUAUAGUACAGCAGACCAUCCUGUAAAGGUUUCAUCCUUCACUGUGGUGAUAAAUAUCCCAAACCACAUUGAAAAGCAUUGCAUCUACAUUUAUCUACACUGUAACUGUACUGUAAAUCAUGGGGGAGGGGAGAAUCAUAAAAACACCACCUGUCACCGUGUCAUUAAAGCAAGUUGGAAGUGAUACUUACAGAAACACAGCAAGAGCACCCCCAGUCACACAGUUCAAUCUCUUAGCAAGCGUUUUCUUUCUAGCCCAGUGGUUCUCAGUUUGGAAUUUUUGGCACUGCCUAGAGAUAGUUUUGUUGUUAAAACUGAGAAAAGAGCCGGGCGUGGUGGCACACGCCUUUAAUCCCAGCACUCAGGAGGCAGAGGCAGG
rnacentral:lncRNA from 1 species